rnacentral:lncRNA from 1 species
UGCUCCCAUGCAAGGGAGGGAUUUACAGUAAUUAUUACAGUAGCCAAUCCUGUCCUGGUAACCUCCCACACAUCUCCUCCCCUCAGCCAGCAUCAUAAUCCCCUUAUCCAGUACAGUAAUUCCCCCCGUUUCUGGAUGUACCCCUAAACGUAGGGGUACCUCUUUAAAUCAUACAUCCCCUGGUAGCCCUGAUCUGGGUGAACAACAUAUCCAAAAAUCACCCAGAUCAGACCAGGGGUUCUGGAAAUUUAUGGAGGGAAUAAAAUGACCGACCGCACUGAGUGAAAC